ensembl:ncRNA T27C5.19 ncRNA
UUUCGAGUUUCGUGCUUCGGCACGUCUCUCGGAGAGCCAAGACAAAUCCAAGUCAAAAACCAAACAAAUCAAACUAUGGUUAACAGAA